GGUACGCGAGCUGGGUUUAGAACGUCGUGAGACAGUUCGGUCCCUAUCUGCCGUGGGCGCUGGAGAAUUGAGGGGGGUUGCUCCUAGUACGAGAGGACCGGAGUGAACGCACCACUGGUGUUCGGGUUGUCAUGCCAAUGGCAUUGCCCGGUAGCUAAGUGCGGAAAAGAUAAGUGCUGAAAGCAUCUAAGCACGAAACUUGCCCCGAGAUGAGUUCUCCCUGACUCCUUGAGAGUCCUGAAGGGACGUUGAAGACUACGACGUUGAUAGGCCGGGUGUGUAAGCGCAGCGAUGCGUUGAGCUAACCGGUACUAAUGACCCGUGAGGCUUAACCUUACAACGCCGAAG
rnacentral:rRNA from 1 species